CGGAUGAAAUGCCAGAGGAGAAGCAACGCGAAUGAAUGAGACCUGCAGAAACAGAAGUAACUGUUGGUCUGAUGAGUUAAAGGUCUUGCAGCCAACUGACUGCACAUUUGGCCAUCUGCCACUGUGGCUUCCUGAAGCUGAAGGAACCAGAAAGCAGUUUCUUUUCCUGCAACUUCUUCAGAUCUCUCUGUUGAGAGCUUAGAUUUUGAGCUCUGACAGCGUUAGCAUCCAGAGUACCCACUGGUCCCCAGAGGCACCUUCCGUUUGCUGAGUGCAGUCAGGCAUCUGCUGCAGCCAGGGCACAACUUGAUCGAUCCACUGUUUGAUGUUUUGGUUUUCAUUAAGUAGAUUUUACGUACUAA